rnacentral:misc_RNA from 1 species
AACGCACAUUGCGCCCUUUGGCAUUCCGAAGGGCAUGCCCGUUCGAGCGUCAUUAAAUCCACUCAAGCCUGGCUUGGUAUUGGGCGCCGGGGACCCCCCGCGCCUCCAUUUCGCCGGCCGGCCGUCGUUUGACUUAGCGUUGUGACACAUGUCGCUGACGACGAAGACGGACCGCGCCGUGAGAAUUUCCUUGGGUAUCGUCGAUAUCCAGUAAAGGUUGACCUCGGAUCGGGUAGGAAUACCCGCUGAACUUAA